ensembl:lncRNA
GGCAGAAGAGAGAGAAGUGGAGAAACGGCAGCAUGAGGGGGACUUGGCCUGAUCUUGCUAGCUUUGAAGAUAGAGAAAUGGGGUAAUGAGCCAAGGAAUGCAGGCAGCCUCUAAAAAAGAAGAAAAAGCAAGAAAACAAAUUAUCCCUGGGAGCCUUCAGAAAGAAACACAGCCCUGGCAACACCAGGAUUUUAGCCCGGCAAAACCCAUUUCAGACUUCCGAUCUCCAGAACAAUUUUCUUCCCAACUGCUUACAUUGAAGACAUAUGAAGACUUCAGGCCUACCACCAGAUGCGAAAGCAAUGUCCUUGAACAGAUUUCUAAUCAGCUGUCACAAUUGUGUGCUUGUCAUGACAACUGGAGAGGUUCUUCUCUGAAUCCACAACCUGCAUAGUUUUGUCAACUGCUAAAGACUAAUCAACACUGGUUCACAGUCAGUGACUGAAAUUGCUAGAAAGGAAAAGAGUCUGUCAAUUAUGCAGUAAUGUUUCACUUCAAAAAUGUUAUAUAGGUGCAAACAGACAUUUGGCAAAAGAGUUGAAGAAGAAACAAGACAAGCCAUUGCAGGCAUAUAAUUUUUUUUCUUUUUUCUGUAGAACUGCGGGUUCUGCUUGAAAUUUGUUUGUUUUGUGAGACAAAUCUUCUCAAAAAGGCAGUGGUGUUAUUAAUUAAACAAAGGAAGAGGCAACCAAGUUGGGAUCACGCUAAGCCAAAGUUGUUAACUGAAUCUGAGCUCUUGUACGGAAAACUUCCCCAGUGGUUAUCUAAGCUGUCACCAUUUUAGUGCCUUGGAGGAAACGUGCUCCAAGAUUUGUGUUAGUGCUGGCAAAGAAAUGAACUAAUUUUAAUUCUCAACUCCUAAAUCUGACAUCAAUCCAGAAACUUUGCAGCUAAACUUAUCUAAGUUUGCUGCACAGCCAACAAUUACAUUAAGAAUAUUACAUGAGAAGUUAGCAGUCUACCUGGUGUAAAUGGUAAAAGUGAAAUUUAGGGGAAAAAAUUAUUUUUAGGUUAAAAAAUGUUCAAAUCUGUUAAGUUCUGAUUCCUAGAAGGUCAUAAAAAGACUCCUAGAAGAUUUGUUUUCCGGUUGCCUAGCUUGCUACAAAACGAGAUUGCUUCCUGCCACUUCUGCCAAAAUAAAUAUUAUUAAAAUACUAUAUUCCCCAGCUGCCAGUCAGAACCAAAGCCUCGGGUAUUUUUCUCACAUGCACGCUCUGAAUAAUCUGCUCAAUAGCAAAGGAGACCUUCUACAAAUAUCUGGGAUUCUCUCUGUAUGCAAGUCUCUUCUCACCAGUACUAUGCUCUGUGAACUUUAGCCACCUUUAGUGGACUCUCAGCAACAUCAUCUCAACUCAAAAGGCCCAUCCGACUCUGCCUGGAUUCCUUCUCCUCACCAGGAAACCCUCUCAAGACAUCAAACUGGGUCAGUUAUAAGGCUCAACUGAUUUGUUUCCUUUCUUUCAGGGAUUGCUUUCCAUAGUUGCCUGAUGUCCAACAUCUUGAAAACAAUUUUUGAAAUAUAUUUCGUCUUGUAUUAUUGUUGUUUCAGAUAGGAGGCUGAAUCUUGUCCCUGAUACUAAAUCUUAGCUGUAAGCAUAUGCCUCUAGAUCUCUUCGGUUUAAAGAUCUCACGGGUGGCUUAUUGUAUAGUCAUGAUUGAGAGCCACUGUUUUAAAUGUCGUUAUUGGGUUUGUAUUGGGGUAGGAUAAUUCAUAUAGUUAAUGAAAUGACCCCAGUUUUUUAUGAGAUUAAAUAAAAGAGGAUUUAUAAAAUUGUUUGUGAUAUAUACUUAACAUUCAAUACCAAUACCUUUUAUCAUUUUUGGUGUACACUUGAAUUAAAAAAACACUGUAUUAUGAUAGGACCAUGAACAGAACUUGAAUAACCUGGAUUCUGUUUAUUGAUUUCCCACCUACUAGUACUGGCAAACCAUUUAAACUCCUCAAGUCUUGUUCUCCUAAUAAAUACCAUGAAGGCAGAAACUUGUUCCUUUGUGCCUUAUGGGAUAGUUGGCAAAAUUAAAAUAUUAAAGAUGAAGGUCUUUUUAUAAACUGAAAAAUGACUUACAUAUAUGUGAAUAUUGUUCUCAAUCUUUCCACAGUAGACUUUUUUUAAGGUCUGUUUUACUAUGUGUUCUACAUUACCCAAUUGAACCAUGUAUGCAUGCAAAAUCUUUGAGGCAAGGCCCUUAAAAAUAUUUGGAUAGAUUUUUAAAACUUCACCUAGCUUAGAAAAUUUUCCAAACAUCUUUUUAAAAGAUUUAAAUGUUAAUGGAGAAACUGAUUUAAAAAUAACAAACACCUAGAACAAAGUGGAAAAAGAAACCCAGAAAUAAAUGUUUUGUUAAUGUCCUUAUGGUAAUUUAUAAAAAUAAGUUGAUGGCAUCACAUGCUGUUACCAUAAAAAAUAUAGAAAUAUGUUUCCAUAUUAUAUAUAUAAUAUAUCCCAUA